rnacentral:rRNA from 1 species
AUGAUCGGGAGGCCCAUGAAGAAUGGAAGGUGUAGAUGGGCGAGGAAGGUAGGACUAGAGGUAGCCAUAGGAGAUGAGGCCAACGACAUGGAGCUAUGGCCAAAAAUCUGGGACUGGAGAAUCAGAAGCACCAAAGAAUUUGAUUUGCCCCCGAGAAUCACCAAAGAAUCACAAUAUACAGAUAUAUCUAAUGAUUUGAGAUACAUAUUAUUUGUCUUAAAUUUGUGUAGCUACGGACGAAUACAUUCGGACCAUCGCCCUAUAAUUGCUGUACUAAAUGGUCAAAGCGUGUCAAGUGAUGGGGGCGGGAGUCCACAGUGUUUUCGGUUUGAGGCACGAUGGCUGCAAGAGGAGGGCUGCCAGGAGGUCGUGGAGGAGGCGUGGAAUAGGGCCUUUGGUGAUGGGGGAGGGUCGACGAGGCGACCGGUAGCCCAGCAGGGGCAGUCGAUCAUCUCAAAGGUGAAUGAGCUCAUAAACCCCGUUACCGAGAACUGGGACGAGGCUCUCGUGAGGGAGCUUUUCACACAGGAGGACGCCAAGAUCAUUUUAGCGAUCCCUCUCAGAGCGGGGAUGGAGGAUUUUCUCUCCUGGCACUAUGACAAAAGAGGGCUUUUCUCGGUCAAAUCGGCAUACCAACUGGGGGUGAGUCUGAAAGAAACAAAGAAGCACCAGGACGCGGAGGGGUCUACCGGUCAGGUGCAGGCUAGGGAGCAAUGGCAACACAUCUGGAAGCUUGAUCUGCCGGGGAAAGUUCGCAUGUUCCUGUGGCGUUUGGCGCAUAACAGCCUGCCAACGAGAAUGAAUAUUAAGCGGAAGCAUGUGGAGCUUGAUACUCUGUGUCCUAUGUGCCUGAGGCUUGAUGAGGAUGGGGGGCAUCUUUUCCUUAAAUGUAAGAAGGUGAAAGCUGUGUGGAGGGAGCAGAACCUUGAGGAUGUCCGGCUGAUGCUAAGUGAUUGCCAUGAUUCCUACCAGGUGAUCAAGCAAAUAUGUUCGCUGCCAACAGAUAAGAGGUUGCGUGUGGCUAUUCUCCUCUGGGAUUGGUGGACAGCAAGGAAUAAAACCAACGCCGGCGAAAAGCAGGGGACUGCACAGGAGGUUAGUGGGUUUAUUACUAGGCACUUGCAAGAUUUUUGUAGCGUGCAGCAGCAGAGCAUCCCUCCGUCAGUGACAGACCAACGAUGGGUGCCACCUGAACCUGGAGUGGUUAAAUUUAACAUGGACGCAGCGUUCCAUCAAGAGGCUGAGGCUGGAGCAUGGGGUUUCAUUGCUAGGGACGAGAUGGGCAAUUUUAUCGCAGCGGCGGCUGGCAAGUUGGAGCACAUCAGGAGCCCCCUCCAAGCUGAGCUCAGUGCGUGCAUGAUGGCAAUUGAUGGGGCUGCUGUUUUGGGGGCUCAGCGUGUCGUUUUUGAGUCUGAUUGCCUAACAAUGAUUAAUGCUCUAAAUGGGCGGGAGUAUGAUGCUGCAGAGCUGGGCGUCCUCUUCAGAGAAGCUAGAAGUUUAUGCCGGCUUUCCUUUGAGUCUUAUGAUUUCAGGUUUUGUCGUAGGGGCUGUAAUUUAAUUGCGCACAAUCUGGCGCAGUUUGGCCUAGGGGCUGUUGUUUCCCUAUCUGUGUGGGAUGUAGAAGCCCCAGACUUUGUUUCGGCUCUGGUUGGCACCGAGAUGGUGAACCAGGCAACCCGCGCUCUAUACUGCUCCUUGUUCGUCAAAGUUGAGACAGAUAGAGGAUGCGGUAGGGGAGGCCGGGAAGGGUGCUGCUGGCCGCACGGCUCGUCCAUGUGGCUGCUCGGCGACGUCGAGCGUGUGGCGGGGCUGGAGGAGUUGGGUCGAGCAGACCGCUUGAACGGCGCUGCUGCUGCUCGUUUGGAGUGCACGGGCCGUGUUGGCUUCUUCGAGAGGCUCUGGGACGCCGGUGGCGCAGGCGCCACGGGUCUCGCCGCGAUGUUCGGGCAGCGGGCCCGGCUUCGGAUGUGCACCGACGGUCAAUUCAGGGCCGCGGAGAGGAGCGGCGGCAAGGUCAGCGCCGCGUCUCUGUCCAAUCUCCCUCUUCUCUCCGUCGACAGGAACCGGAGAAAGGCGCCGCCAUUGGCGACCAUGGAGCUCAGUGCCCCGCCUUCCUCCACCUCGCCUCUGACCCCCUCUGCACCGGAUCCACCUAGCCAAGACCUCUGUGGCUCUGUCGCGUCGUCCCCGAGGGCGCUGCUUGCAGGUAGCCCGCCAACAAGCUCCGGCACCAGCCCUCCUCGGUCACCUCCACGGUUGCCCUCACCGUCGUGGUGA